GAUGAAGAUCGCAGCGAAAUGCGAUAAUUAAUGUGAAUUGCAGAAUUCCGUGAAUCAUCGAGUCUUUGAACGCACAUUGCGCCUCAUGGCAUUCCGUGAGGCAUGCCCAUCUCAGCGUUAGAAAAUAUUCUCAAAUUUUAGUUUUGUGCUAAAAUUUGGAUCAUGUCAAGGAAGCUAUUACUAUUAUUGUGAUCGCUCUUUGGAAAUUGAUAGGUCUUUGAGUUGCUACUCAUAGAACGUGAUGAAUCUUUCUUCGUUCUAUUGUAAUUCACUCUGGUAGUCCUAAAACUUGUAUGCCUGUGGCAUAUCUUGUAAUUUGACCUGAGAUUGGGUAGGGAUACCCGCUGAACUUAAGCAUAUCAAUAAGCGGAGGA
rnacentral:misc_RNA from 1 species